UGGGGAAUAUUGGACAAUGGGCGAAAGCCUGAUCCAGCAAUGCCGCGUGAGUGAUGAAGGCCUUAGGGUUGUAAAGCUCUUUUACCUGGGAUGAUAAUGACAGUACCAGGAGAAUAAGCCCCGGCUAACUCCGUGCCAGCAGCCGCGGUAAUACGGAGGGGGCUAGCGUUGUUCGGAAAUACUGGGCGUAAAGCGCACGUAGGCGGCGAUUCAAGUCAGAGGUGAAAGCCCGGGGCUCAACCCCGGAACUGCCUUUGAAACUAGAUUGCUAGAAUCCUGGAGAGGUGAGUGGAAUUCCGAGUGUAGAGGUGAAAUUCGUAGAUAUUCGGAAGAACACCAGUGGCGAAGGCGACUCACUGGACAGGUAUUGACGCUGAGGUGCGAAAGCGUGGGGAGCAAACAGG
rnacentral:rRNA from 1 species